UAGGGAAUCUUCGGCAAUGGACGGAAGUCUGACCGAGCAACGACGCGUGAGUGAAGAAGGUUUUCGGAUCGUAAAGCUAUGUUGUUAGAGAAGAACGUUGGUAGGAGUGGAAAAUCUACCAAGUGACGGUAACUAACCAGAAAGGGACGGAUAACUACGUGCCAGCAGCCGCGGUAAUACGUAGGUCCCGAGCGUUGUCCGGAUUUAUUGGGCGUAAAGCGAGCGCAGGCGGUUCUUUAAGUCUGAAGUUAAAGGCAGUGGCUUAACCAUUGUACUCUUUGGAAACUAGAGGACUUGAGUGCAGAAGGGGAGAGUAGAAUUCCAUGUGUAGCGGUGAAAUGCGUAGAUAUAUGGACGAACACCGGUGGCGAAAGCUGCUCUCUGGUCUGUAACUGACGCUGAGGCUCGAAAGCGUGGGGAGCAAACAGG
rnacentral:rRNA from 1 species